CCCUCGGCUGCGGGGUAGCGGGCAGCCCUGCGCUGCCGGCCGCCUAGCCUGCACCCCCCGCCCUGGGAGGGAAGCCUCGCUCCAGCCGCGUCGUUUCCGCGCCGAAGUGCGAUCCGGGGCCCCGCGCUGGAGUCCCCUGCUCUCAGGCUGGUGGCAGUUGCUGGAGUACCAGGGCACCAAGUGGAGGAUGUGGUAGACAGCCUCUAAGAUGCGCCCCCUGCCAAUGAUCUCUGCCUCCAGGGAGGAGCUAGAAGGCAGAGAGAAAGCCACUCAGGACUUCCCAUCCCAGAAGAUAAAGGUGAGGAAAGCAGCAGCAGCAGCCACAGGCCAGUAUUCCAGAGCAGCUUUGGGUUCCUGUCAAGACCUGCUUUGAGAAGGAGGUGGCUGUGGGGCUGGAGGGCUGGGCCUGUUCCUGAGCUGGCUGCUGGCAGCACAGCAAUGAGGCAACAUUGAGAACUGCGACACGAGGCCCAGUCCUGCUACUAAACCAACUGUGUGGACUUGCAUAGUCACUUCACCCCUCGGGCCUCCAUUUCUCCACUUUGGAAAGCAGUGUUGGGACGAUGUUAAGGGUUUGCAACCUUCCAACAUGAAGACUUAUUUUUAAAAGCAAAACAUUUCAAAGAGUCCACAUGACAGUAGUGUUCAUUUUGGCA
rnacentral:lncRNA from 1 species